ACAGCGGACACCAGGACUCCAAAAUGGCGUCAGUUGGUGAGUGUCCGGCCCCGGUACCAGUGAAGGACAAGAAACUUCUGGAGGUCAAACUGGGGGAGCUGCCAAGCUGGAUCUUGAUGCGGGACUUCAGCCCUAGUGGUAUUUUUGGAGCGUUUCAAAGAGGUCAGAGCCUUGUGGAUGUCUGUAAAUGAAAGCAAAUCUCUGGGUCUUCAGAUCUCUUUUUUGCCAUGAAUUAAAUUUGGGCAAUGAAGGCCUUGUUGUCCGAAAGCAGUAAGUUAUGUAGAGGACGACAGGGAGGGAUGCUAGGCCUUGGACUUCUAUGGUUGAUUGGCCCUUUCAAAGGCUGGCUCUGAGAUAUUACAGCCAAGAACAUGUUUCCUGUUGCUUGGAAUCAGUAUGUCUGCCUGUCUUAGAGAAAUCCUAAGACUUCUUUAAGAGGAAAAUGAAUUGGAACUGUAGUGGGCAUUAGUCUAUAAUAUGAUGCUCUCCUCCCUGCCAGAACUUCAGGACAAAUAUUUGAAAUGGCCUAUCUUGGCCUGGUGUGGUGGCUUAUGCCUGUAAUCCCAGCACUUCGGGAGGCCGA
rnacentral:sRNA from 1 species